GGGAAACUGCGUACGGCUCAUUACACCAGCCUUAAUUUACUUGACCUUGACAACCUACUUGGAUAACUGUGGUAAUUCUAGAGCUAAUACAUGCACCAAAGCUCCGAUCCUCGCGGAGAGGAGCGCAUUUGUUCGCCACAAAACCAAGCGCCCAUCUGGGCGUCCAGUGCUGAACCAGAACAACUCAGCUGAUCGCACGGUCUUGUACCGGCGACGUGUCUUUCAAGUGUCUGCCUUAUCAACUUUCGAUGGUAGUGUACCUGACUACCAUGGUUGUGACGGGUAACGGAGGAUAAGGGUUCGACUCCGGAGAAGGGGCCUGAGAAAUGGCCACUACGUCUAAGGAUGGCAGCAGGCGCGCAAAUUACCCACUCUCAACGCGAGGAGGUAGUGACGAGAAAUAACGAGACCGUUCUCAUACGAGGCCGGUUAUUGGAAUGGGUACAAUUUAAACCCUUUAACGAGUAUCUAUGAGAGGGCAAGUCUGGUGCCAGCAGCCGCGGUAAUUCCAGCUCUCAAA
rnacentral:rRNA from 1 species